CUUGGUCAUUUAGAGGAAGUAAAAGUCGUAACAAGGUUUCCGUAGGUGAACCUGCGGAAGGAUCGUUAUUGAUUUUUAAAGAUGUGCUGGCACUCCUUCACCGGUUUGCAUGUGCACUCUGCAAAAUCUCCUUCUCUUACCCCACUGUGCACACCCAAGUAGACAAACAGAGUUACAGAGCAAUCUGUGUAAUUCCUGAUUUGCCUAUGUUUUUAUCAAACACCAAUAACAAUAUCAGAAUGAUCUAUAUAGUAAGCUUUUAACAAGCUGAAAUUUAAUACAACUUUCAACAAUGGAUCUCUUGGUUCUCGCAUCGAUGAAGAACGCAGCGAAUUGCGAUAUGUAAUGUGAAUUGCAGAAUUCAGUGAAUCAUCGAAUCUUUGAACGCACCUUGCACCCUCUGGCAUUCCGGAGGGUAUGCCUGUUUGAGUGUCAUUAAUCUCUCAACACAAGAAACUUUGUCUUCUUGUGCUUGGAUAUUGAAGGUUUUGCUGGCGCAAACAACUGUCAGCUCCUUUUAAAUGUAUUAGCAGAGCAGUAUGGGACUGGCCUCGGUUUGAUAAGAAACUUUAUCUAUGCUGUCGCUGGGUUUUCCUCUUUGUGCUCAGCUUCAAAUUGUCUUCGGACUGUCUCUUGAGGCAACAAAAUUUCUAUUGAUCGACCUCAAAUCAGGUAGGACUACCCGCUGAACUUAAGCAUAUCAAUAAGCGGAGGA
rnacentral:rRNA from 1 species